rnacentral:lncRNA from 1 species
CACGACUCAGUCCUCCAUGUGGCAGCAUGGAGUUUUCCUGCCUUUGAUCCUUUCUUGUGGUUUGACACUUACCCUGCUCCCUCUGGGGUCCAGGCUAGUGAAAAACUAAGCUGAUAAGAGGGGAUCUUUGUUAAAAUGGAGAAAACAGACAGGGAAUCUGUGCAGUUAGGAUCCUGGAAGGAAAUGGGUGGGAUCGUUCAGGAGAGUGUCGUGAGAGACCGUUUCCAAGGGUGUGAGAUGGGUAAGGGGAACCACCAACAAUGGUGGAGGUCAUUACCAAACACAGGCCAGAAGGGCAGGGAGAACGCUGGUGACCAGCACCCGGAAGCCGCUGACAGUGUGGGCUUUGGAAGACGAACACAGCAAUUGGGAGGAGAUGAUCCAGGUGCUUGUCCUUGACGGUGUCUGUCUCCACGGAGGAUAGUGGAUUCUGGAGCCAGGAAGAAAGAGAGUGCAACAAGGCAGCUAUGCCUCCGAAGGCCACUUCAUGCCUCUGCUCUUCUUUCUCAAUCUCAUCGGAUGUUUAUCAAUUUAUUAAUCUUCACAAAGUACCAUAAUUUGGCUCCUUUGAUUCUCUCUCAUAUAUAUGUUUCUCUAGUCUUGUUUUAAAAAUAAUUCAUGCUGUUCUCUAUGUUUUAGUUUAUUUCUUUUUAGAUGGUUGCUUAGCAUUAAUUCUAAGCUUUCGUUCUUUUCUAAUAUCAU